AUGGAACAUAAAUGGAACUUCCGCCAAAAAAAGGACAUAACUACAAAAUGGAACUUCCGCAAAAAAAUAAAUACAAAAUGGAACAUAAAAGGAGAUCAUCAUUGA
rnacentral:rRNA from 1 species